rnacentral:rRNA from 1 species
UUCCGGUUGAUCCUGCCGGACCCGACCGCUAUCGGGGUAAGGCUAAGCCAUGGGAGUCGAACGCCCGCCGCCGCGGGCGUGGCGGACGGCUGAGUAACACGUGGCUAACCUACCCUCGGGAGGGGGAUAACACCGGGAAACUGGUGCUAAUCCCCCAUAGGGGCGGUGGCCUGGAAGGGUACCGCCCCGAAAGGGGGCGGCGGGGGUUAACGCCGCCGCUCCGCCCGAGGAUGGGGCUGCGCCCUAUCAGGUAGUUGGCGGGGUAAUGGCCCGCCAAGCCUAAGACGGGUAGGGGCCGUGGGAGCGGGAGCCCCCAGAUGGGCACUGAGACAAGGGCCCAGGCCCUACGGGGCGCACCAGGCGCGAAAACUCCGCAAUGCGGGCAACCGUGACGGGGUUACCCCGAGUGCCCCCGUUAUGGGGGCUUUUCCCCGCUGUAAACAGGCGGGGGUAAUAAGCGGGGGGCAAGUCUGGUGUCAGCCGCCGCGGUAAUACCAGCCCCGCGAGUGGUCGGGACGAUUAUUGGGCCUAAAGCGCCCGUAGCCGGCCUGGUAGGUCCCCUCCUAAAGCCCGGGGCUCAACCCCGGGCCUGGAGGGGAAACCACCAGGCUAGGGGGCGGGAGAGGCCGAGGGUACUCCCGGGGUAGGGGCGAAAUCCGAUAAUCCCGGGAGGACCGCCAGUGGCGAAGGCGCUCGGCUGGAACGCGCCCGACGGUGAGGGGCGAAAGCCGGGGGAGCGAACCGGAUUAGAUACCCGGGUAGUCCCGGCUGUAAACGAUGCGGGCUAGGUGUUGGGCGGGCCUUGAGCCCGCCCAGUGCCGCAGGGAAGCCGUUAAGCCCGCCGCCUGGGGAGUACGGCCGCAAGGCUGAAACUUAAAGGAAUUGGCGGGGGAGCACCACAAGGGGUGGAGCCUGCGGCUUAAUUGGAUUCAACGCCGGGAA